rnacentral:rRNA from 1 species
AUUGAACGCUGGCGGAAUGCUUUACACAUGCAAGUCGAACGGCAGCACGGACUUCGGUCUGGUGGCGAGUGGCGAACGGGUGAGUAAUAUAUCGGAACGUAUCCAAUAAUGGGGGAUAACUAAUCGAAAGGUUGGCUAAUACCGCAUACGCCCUACGGGGGAAAGCUAGGGACCUUCGGGCCUGGCGUUAAUGGAGCGGC